ACGCUCGACACCUACGAGAGGCAGCAGUCGGGAAUAUUGCGCAAUGGAGGGAACUCUGACGCAGUGACGCCGCGUAUAGGAAGAAGGUUUUCGGAUUGUAAACUAUUGUCGUUAGGGAAGAGAAAGGACAGUACCUAAGGAGGAAGCUCCGGCUAACUACGUGCCAGCAGCCGGGUAAUCUGAGCGGGCUGGCAAGGC
rnacentral:rRNA from 1 species